rnacentral:rRNA from 1 species
GGAUCCCAGACUUUGAUCCUGGCUCAGGAUGAACGCUGGCGGCAUGCCUAAGACAUGCAAGUCGAACGAGAUGGCCCAGUGAAGGUUGAGUGCUUGCACGAGACUGAAUCUGGAUUCCCAUCUAGUGGCAGACGGGUGGAGUAACACGUGGGUGACCUACCUUUUCGUUGGGGAUAACAGUUGGAAACGAUUGCUAAUACCGAAUAAAAUGUAAGAGUCAAUUUUACAUUGAAAGGAGCCUUUAAAGCUUCGCGAUUAGAUGGGCCUGCGGCGUAUUAACUAGUUGGUGAGGUAAUGGCUUACCAAGGUGACGAUGCGUAGCCGAACUGAGAGGUUGAUCGGCCACAUUGGGACUGAGACACGGCCCAAACUCCUACGGGAGACAGCAGUUAGGAAUAUUCGUCAAUGGAGGAAACUCUGAACGAGCAAUGCCGCGUGAGUGAUGAAGGUCUUAUAGAUUGUAAAACUCUGUUGUAUGGAAAAAACGACUAGGUUAGGAAAUGAACUUAGUGUGAUGGUACCAUACCAGAAAGCCCCGGCUAACUACGUGCCAGCAGCCGCGGUAAUACGUAGGGGGCGAGCGUUAUCCGGAUUUAUUGGGCGUAAAGCGUGUGUAGGCGGUUUAUUAAGUUUAAGAUUAAAGCCCGGGGCUCAACUCCCGGUAAGUCUUAAAAACUGGUAGACUUGAGUACGGUAGAGGCAAACGGAAUUUCUAGUGUAGCGGUGAAAUGCGUAGAUAUUAGAAGGAACACCAGUGGCGAAAGCGGUUUGCUGGGCCGUUACUGACGCUGAGGCACGAAAGCGUGGGGGAGCAAAUAGGAUUAGAUACCCUAGUAGUCCACGCCGUAAACGAUGAGUACUAAGU